rnacentral:rRNA from 1 species
AUUGAACGCUGGCGGCGUGCCUAACACAUGCAAGUCGAGCGGUAACAGGUGUAGCAAUACAUGCUGACGAGCGGCGGACGGGUGAGUAACGCUUGGGAGUCUGCCUAUUAGUGGGGGACAACCCGGGGAAACUCGGGCUAAUACCGCAUACGCUCUACGGAGGAAAGCCGGGGACCGCAAGGCCUGGCGCUAAUAGAUGAGCCCAAGUCGGAUUAGCUAGUUGGUAGGGUAANGGCCUACCAAGGCGACGAUCCGUAACUGGUCUGAGAGGACGACCAGUCACACCGGAACUGAGACACGGUCCGGACUCCUACGGGAGGCAGCAGUGGGGAAUAUUGGACAAUGGGCGAAAGCCUGAUCCAGCGACGCCGCGUGGGUGAAGAAGGCCUGCGGGUUGUAAAGCCCUUUCAGCCCUGACGAAGCGAGAGUGACGGUAGGGCAGAAGAAGCACCGCCAACUA